rnacentral:rRNA from 1 species
AAGCUACGGGUGGAACCGCGAAGGUCGAAUCGAGGGCACUCACCUCGUCGGGCGGGCGGGACCCGGGGUGCUCCGACAGGCCGGCGCCGAUGUCCACGUGUGAGCGCAGGAGCACCCUGUCUGUCGCGUCCCGUUCCGGCGGGCGUACUUGUCCCUCCUAGCAAACGCCGCGUGCCGUGGCGGGGACCAGAAGGCCCACAUAGCCCGGAUUGGUACCCUCAGUUCGGAGGGGAAACCGCGGCUGGGACAUUGCAUGGUGGCCCUGCCACGGCGUGGCCAGGGCAGCCCUCUCGGGGGCUGCCUCGCGGCGGAACGAAGUCGGUGAUCCACCUGACCCGUCUUGAAACACGGACCAAG